rnacentral:lncRNA from 1 species
AAAACAUCUUCGGAUCUUAACUAUGAUCCCUCUUCAGUGUCAUGUUCUGUCUACUUUUGAAUAUAUUCAAAAGUAGACAGAACAUGACACUAUUCCUGUCAGCAGCUUGAAUUUUGUUGGCAGGCAUGUUAUUGGCCUAUAGUUGCUCACUAUUGUUCCUUUGGCUAGAUCUUUCAUUAUCAGGCAGGUCUUUCCUGUUGUUUGCCAGCUGGUCAUGCCUCCUUCUGUGAUAAGUUUGUUGAAUUGUUGUGCCAUCCUUUUGUGCAUGCUUGUAAGAUGUUUAAGCCAAAAGCCAUGCAGCUGAUCUUUUUCUGGGGCACUCCAAUUUUUGAUUCUGCUAGUUCUGGUUUUUAUCAUUUCGUUACAAUAUUGUUUUUCAACUCUUGAUGAUUUGAUGCCGGGUUGGUCUUUUUCUAUCCACGUUGCAUCUUUAUUGUAAGUCUUGGGAUUGUCCCAGAGACUCUGCCAGAACUGUAAAAUGUCAUCUGAAGGUGGUUUUUGUUCAGCAACAUUUUUUUCAUCUUUAUUCCCAUUGCUGAUUACUUGAUAGAAUUUGGUUUGAUUUGUUUGGAACUGCCUGUUUUCUUUGUAUUACUUGAUGCGACUUUGGUAUCUGCUGAUUUUUUUUUGCAGUGGCUGUUAUCUGCUGUUUGAUUAUUUCCAAGACCUUUUUAAUCUUUCUGUUGUCUAGGUGGUAUUUCUUGACCAGGUACUCUUUUGUCUUUUUGUUAUUUAAUUUCUUUUCUUUCAUUGCCGUUAGUUUGCUGGCAUCGGAUCUCAGUAUGCUGAUUUUAUUUUCCAGCCUGAUUUUCCAUUUUGGGACAGUUAUUUGAAACGUUUCUUUUUUCAACCUUUCUGGCAUUAGUUCUUCUGUUGCUAUGGCAGCUGCACUGUGCAUUAUCUGGUUGAUUUCUUCUAGAUUUCAUACUUCUAUUUGCUGGAUGGCAGCAUUGAUGUCACACUGCAACUUUUUCCGCACAACCUUUAUUAGUGGUAAUCUUACUCUUUCAUUGCAGUUUUUUGCCUGCUGCUCAGUCUUUUCUUUUAAUUGCUGUUGGUCUUGUGACAAUGGUCUUUCAGUGGGCUGAGAGGAGAAUCAGGCACUUGGACGAUUUGUUGUUGAAUGGGCAUUGAUGUUUGAGAGGUGUCCUGUUGGCAUGGUUGUUGCUGGGAGGCAUUUAGCUGGUUGCUGCAUCUUUCCUCUACUGCCCUCAUUACUGGUGGCUCAAUAUCUGGCAGCUGAGCAAGCUUGUUAGCCUGGAUAUUAGUUUUUAGUUCUUUCAAUUCUAGCUCAGUGAAGAUCUUCAUUCUUGAGAUGAAGCAUCUUUGGUCUGCUAGUUAUUUUUCUGUGAGCUCUGAUUCAGGAUGAUGUUCUUUCCAUAAGCGAUUCAUUCUUUUUAAGUACCCACAUUUGGCUGGGCUGGAUUUAAAGUACCAUAUCAUAAUCUCUUUGUUUGUGGAUCUUGUAAACUUGUCUCUCUUUCUUUGGCUGAUAUUAUCUUUGCUGCUUUCUUGGUUGCUGGUUGUUGUUCGUCGUUUGCUGUUUGAUGUUGGGAAGGUUCUUCCAGUAGCUCUGCAGUCCUCAAUCCUGGUCACACAACUGAAGAUCCUGAGUCCUGUAGCCCAUUUAUCACUAGAUGGCCAGGGACUCUAACACCUAGUGCAGUCCUUGUUGACCCGGGCGAUGACCAAUCCAGUAUAUCAUUGAACCUUCUUGUGUUCAUCAUGCUUGGUAGGUUGUGGGACACUCUUAGUCUGGCCUCUCAGUCGAGAUCUGUCUGGCAUGGGAGACCCUUCUGGUAAUUACCUACUGCCAACUUAGUUCUCAACAUCAUUGAAGCAUACAUGCUUCUUCACCACGGCAACGUGGUGCCCAUCGAAGGGUAUUAUUAUUAUUAUUAUUAUUAUUAUUAUUAUUAUUAUUAUUA